GCAGAAUGCAGAAUGAGAGUCGCACCAUGGGCCUAAAUAUAGCCAGAUAUUGAAUUAAAGUUCAAGAGCUCUGAGCAGGAUUUCACGUCACUCACUGGAAGUAGCUCCAUCUGCAAGCCCUCCACUUCACUACUGGGACUCAGAGAAGUAUGACUUUCAGUGACCAAUAAACUGAAGAAAGCUUCCAUGGGUCAUCUAGGAUUCUGACCCUCAUGGAGAUGAGGGGUUCUUUCUGCCAAAGCACUGAUGUCACUAACGUGCAGGAAAGACUAUCAAAGGAUUUAACAAGAAGAAUCUGGAAAAAACACCUAAGGGGACAUGAAUUUGAAGGCUGGAUCGUUACCAUGUUUGAAGCUUUUGGCAGCCUUGAUCUCUAUCAUGUGGAUGAGUGAAACAGAAGAAGACAGUGGCAGAGACGUACGCAUGAAGCAGACCCACAGAGGA
rnacentral:lncRNA from 1 species